rnacentral:tRNA from 2 species
GCGCCGGUAGCUCAGUUGGAUAGAGUACUUGACUACGAAUCAAGGGGUCGGGGGUUCGAAUCCUCCCCGGCGCACCA